GGUCAAAGAGCGCGUUGAAGUUCGAGAGCGUGGAGAAGGCCUGGACUCAGGUGGUUUCCGGCACCAAUUACCGGCUGAUCUUGGUCGUCAAGGACGGACCUUCGACCAAGAAAUUUGAAGUUGUCGUUUGGGAGAAGCCAUGGGAGCAUUUCAAGAGUCUCACCUCGUUUAAGCCUAUGCUUGGGGAUGGACUCCGAUAGACCCCACGGAGAAGCACGUGAUGGAGAUCGGGCAGUUCGAGGUGACGGAGUGCAAUAAACGGUCAAAGAGCGCGUUGAAGUUCGAGAGCGUGGAGAAGGCCUGGACUCAGGUGGUUUCCGGCACCAAUUACCGGCUGAUCUUGGUCGUCAAGGACGGACCUUCGACCAAGAAAUUUGAAGCUGUCGUUUGGGAGAAGCCAUGGGAGCAUUUCAAGAGUCUCACCUCGUUUAAGCCUAUGUUUGGGGGAUGGACUCCGAUAGACCCCACGGAGAAGCACGUGAUGGAGAUCGGGCAGCUCGCGGUGACGGAGUACAACAAACGGUCAAAGAGCGCGUUGAAGUUCGAGAGCGUUUAGAAGGCCGAGACUCAAGUGGUUUCCGGCACCAAUUACCGGCUGAUCUUGGUCGUCAAGGACGGACCUUCGACCAAGAAAUUUGUAGCUGUCGUUUGGGAGAAGCCAUGGGAGCAUUUCAAGAGUCUCACCUCGUUUAAGCCUAUGUUUGGGGGAUGGACUCCGAUAGACCCCACGGAGAAGCACGUGAUGGAGAUCGGGCAGUUCGCGGUAACAGAGUACAACAAACGGUCAAAGAGCGCGUUGAAGUUCGAGAGCGUGGAGAAGGCCUGGACUCAGGUCGUUUCCGGCACCAAUUACCGGCUGGUCUUGGUCGUCAAGGACGGACCUUCGACCAAGAAAUUGUUAGCUGUCGUUUGGGAGAAGCCAUGGGAGCAUUUCAAGAGUCUCACCUCGUUUAAGCCUAUGCUUGGGGGAUGGAAUCCGAUAGACCCCACGGAGAAGCACGUGAUGGAGAUCGGGCAGUUCGCUGUGACAGAGUACAACAAACGGUCAAAGAGCGCGUUGAAGUUCGAGAGCGUGGAGACGGCCUGGACUCAGGUGGUUUCCGGCACCAAUUACCGGCUGAUCUUGGUCGUCAAGGACGGACCUUCGACCAAGAAAUUUGUAGCUGUCAUUUGGGAGUAGCCAUGGGAGCAUUUCAAGAGUCUCACCUCGUUUAAGCCUAUGCUUGGGGGAUGGACUCCGAUAGACCCCACGGAGAAGCACGUGAUGGAGAUCGGGCAGUUCGCGGUGACAGAGUACAACAAACGGUCAAAGAGCGCGUUGAAGUUCGAGAGCGUUGAGAAGGCUUGGACUCAGGUGGUUUCCGGCACCAAUUACCGGCUGAUCUUGGUCGUCAAGGACGGACCUUCGACCAAGAAAUUUGAAGCUGUCGUUUGAGAGAUGCCAUGGGAGCAUUUCAAGAGUCUCACCUCGUUUAAGCCUAUGCUUGGGGGAUGGACUCCGAUAGAGCCCACGGAGAAGCACGUGAUGGAGAUCGGGCAGUUCGCGGUGACAGAGUACAAUAAACGGUCAAAGAGCGCGUUGAAGUUCGAGAGCGUUGAGAAGGCUUGGACUCAGGUGGUUUCCGGCACCAAUUACCGGCUGAUCUUGGUCGUCAAGGACGGACCUUCGACCAAGAAAUUUGUAGCUGUCGUUUGGGAGUAGCCAUGGGAGCAUUUCAAGAGUCUCACCUCGUUUAAGCCUAUGCUUGGGGGAUGGACUCCGAUAGACCCCACGGAGAAGCACGUGAUGGAGAUCGGGCAGUUCGCGGUGACGGAGUACAACAAACGGUCAAAGAGCGCGUUGAAGUUCGAGAGCGUGGAGAAGGCCUGGACUCAGGUGCUUUCCGGCACCAAUUACCGGCUGAUCUUGGUCGUCAAGGACGGAC
rnacentral:lncRNA from 1 species